rnacentral:rRNA from 1 species
AUGCAUUUACUGGCGCUAAGUGCUUUCCCAAUGUGGAGAAGUAAUCUGUUAUUCUUUCCUAUUGGACAGGAGAAACACUGGUUUACCUUGGUUGUUUGCUUGAAGGAGAGGGCAUUCGCAUUUCUUGAUUCUUUGUACGGGGCAAAGGAUCAUUUUCAUCUGGGAAUUCAUGAUAAAUUGAUUGAAAAUUUCAUAACAAUCUGGGAUCAGUUUGUGACUCCUAUCCUACGUACUCGUAUCGACUUUGAGAAUUUUGACAUUGUCUACCCUACUGUUCCACAGCAAAAUAACUGGGAGGAUUGUGGUGUUUUCACUAUCAUGUAUCUGAAGCACCGGACUCCUAGGACCCCAAUUGGCAAUAUGUUUGGCGCAGCCGAUGUUGAUAACAUAAGAAUCAGAUUGGCAAACGAGUUGUAUUUCAGUGGAUUCAACAGUGUCGACAAGACAUUUGUUACCCACUUCUUCGAUGAUGGUUGGUUUAAUUCUUUCUUAAGUCCCCCAAUAAUUAAACUCAAAUUGUCAAACUUACAAGUACAAUAUCCAGAUGAAGAAACUCCAUCCUCAUUUGUUCUUGUGGCUCAUCUUGUUGAUUUUGCUCUGUUGUCCCCCAAUUAUUCACGGAUGUUCUUCCUCCUUGCUCCUCGUCAGGGAAGAUGA